GAUGAAGAACGCAGCGAAAUGCGAUAAGUAAUGUGAAUUGCAGAAUUCAGUGAAUCAUCGAAUCUUUGAACGCACCUUGCGCCCUUUGGCUAUUCUGAAGGGCAUGCCUGUUUGAGUAUCAUGAACACCUCAACUCUCAUGGUUCGCCAUGAUGAGCUUGGACUUUGGGGGUCUUGCUGGCCUACGGUCGGCUCCUCUCAAAUGAAUCAGCUUGCCAUUGUUUGGUAGAGUCGCAGGUGUGAUAACUAUCUACGCUUGUGGUUUUCUGCCAGAUAACCUUCAGUGAUGGAGGUUCGCUGGAGCUUAUAAAUGUCUCUCCCCAGUGAGGACAGCUUUUUGAACGUUUGAUCUCAAAUCAGGUAGGACUACCCGCUGAACUUAAGCAUAUCAAUAAGCGGAGGA
rnacentral:misc_RNA from 1 species